rnacentral:rRNA from 1 species
CUGGCGGCGUGCCUAAUACAUGCAAGUCGAGCGAAUUACGAGAGCUUGCUCUCGUAAAUUAGCGGCGGACGGGUGAGUAACACGUGGGCAACCUGCCUAUAAGACUGGGAUAACUUCGGGAAACCGGAGCUAAUACCGGAUAAUUCACAUCUACUCAUGUAGAUGUGCUGAAAGACGGUUUACGCUGUCACUUAUAGAUGGGCCCGCGGCGCAUUAGCUAGUUGGUGAGGUAACGGCUCACCAAGGCCACGAUGCGUAGCCGACCUGAGAGGGUGAUCGGCCACACUGGGACUGAGACACGGCCCAGACUCCUACGGGAGGCAGCAGUAGGGAAUCUUCCGCAAUGGACGAAAGUCUGACGGAGCAAACCGCCGCGUGAGUGAUGAAGGUUUUCGGAUCGUAAAACUCUGUUGUUAGGGAAGAACAAGUACCGGAGUAACUGCCGGUACCUUGACGGUACCUAACCAGAAAGCCACGGCUAACUACGUGCCAGCCGCAGC